rnacentral:sRNA from 1 species
UUACUCCUUUAAGUCACCGACACUGAUGC